GACGAACGCUGGCGGCGUGCUUAACACAUGCAAGUCGAACGGUGAAGCACCUUCCUUUUGGUGGGUGUGGAUGAGUGGCGAACGGGUGAGUAACACGUGAGUAACCUGCCCCCUUCUUCUGGAUAACCGCAUGAAAGUGUGGCUAAUACGGGAUAUUCUGUGCCUGCUGCAUGGUGGGUGUGGGAAAGAUGCGCUUUUGGGUGUUUUUGGUGGGGGAUGGGCUCGCGGCGUAUCAGCUUGUUGGUGGGGUGAUGGCCUACCAAGGCGGUGACGGGUAGCCGGCCUGAGAGGGUGGGCGGUCACACUGGGACUGGGACACUGCCGAGACUCCUACGGGAGGCAGCAGUGGGGAAUAUUGCACAAUGGGCGCAAGCCUGAUGCAGCGACGCCGCGUGAGGGAUGGAGGCCUUCGGGUUGUAAACCUCUUUCGCCAGUGAAGCAGGCCUGUCCCUUGUGGGUGGGUUGACGGUAGCUGGAUAAGAAGCGCCGGCUAACUACGUG
rnacentral:rRNA from 1 species